GACGAACGCUGGCGGCGUGCUUAACACAUGCAAGUCGAACGGAAAGGCCCUGCUUUUGUGGGGUGCUCGAGUGGCGAACGGGUGAGUAACACGUGAGUAACCUGCCCUUGACUUUGGGAUAACUUCAGGAAACUGGGGCUAAUACCGGAUAGGAUCUCCUGCUGCAUGGUGGGGGUUGGAAAGAUUCGGCGGUUGGGGAUGGACUCGCGGCUUAUCAGCUUGUUGGUGGGGUAGUGGCUUACCAAGGCUUUGACGGGUAGCCGGCCUGAGAGGGUGACCGGCCACAUUGGGACUGAGAUACGGCCCAGACUCCUACGGGAGGCAGCAGUGGGGAAUAUUGCACAGUGGGCGGAAGCCUGAUGCAGCAACGCCGCGUGCGGGAUGACGGCCUUCGGGUUAUAAACCGCUUUGGCCUGUGACGAAGCGUGAGUGACGGUAAUGGGUAAAGAAGCACCGGCUAACUACGUG
rnacentral:rRNA from 1 species